UUUAAAAGUGAUUUGUGAAUAUGUUUUCCCCAGGCAUAAAAUAGUUUGAAAGUGGUAUGGUGAAGGAAAAACUAAAGCAUAGAGCAGCAGAAUAAUCAGAUAUGAAGAUCGAAUUUGCCUUCACACGCGCGUAACAAGAAGAAUUUGAGAAAGCUGUGAUGAUGAUGGUGUGAAAAUGAAUCUAACGACGAUGAUGAUGGAAAGAAAGGAAGAAGGCAUGAUAAUAGAAGAGAACAAGAAGAAGAGCAAUGAAAAUGACAAGUUUACCCUGAAGGGAUCGGCGGCGGCGGCGUCGUCAUCAACAAGGCAAUGGUCGGCGUUUCGGAAUCCAAGAAUCGUGAGGGUAUCAAGGUCAUUUGGGGGAAAAGACAGGCACAGCAAGGUUUGCACCAUAAGAGGGCUUCGUGACCGUCGGAUCAGGCUCUCAGUCCCCACCGCCAUUCAAUUGUACGACUUGCAAGACAAGUUGGGACUCUCUCAACCAAGCAAAGUCAUCGAUUGGCUUCUUGAUGCUACAAAACUUGAUAUCGAUAAGCUUCCCCCUCUUCACUUCCCUCAACCCUGCUUCCAACCGCCGCAAACCCUAUUCCCUCAUCUUCUCCAUGACCCUUCCUCUUUCUGGAAACCCAGGUUCUGGGAUUUCGACUCUUCCGCUUCCUCCUCUUCUUCUUCCAGGUUUCUCAAAGGGAAGGACUUAAUGACCACCAUGCCCUCCGACAAUAAUAAUAAUAAAGCCAAGUGGAUCUUCAAAUCAAACAAUGCGGAUCAUGAGAAUCAAGAAUUCGGAGGCGGUUACACUACUCAGAGACUUUUCCCAAUGGAGACUACUACCAAUAAUAAUAAUCCCUUUCAGAGUUUGUUUUUCAACAACAACUCUACCCCUGAGGCUUCUAAUUUGGGAAGCCAUGGAUUGUUGUUUCCUUCUAGUUCUUGUUCUUCUUCUUCUGCAAGUAUUUAUCAUCACCAUCAUCAAAUGGGAGAUUAUUAUGGUAGUUAUCCAAUGCAAUUGAACCAUUUAUCUUCUUUGCAAGUAGGCCCAUCUGCUUCCUCACAAUUAUUAUUUGGUCCUUUAUCUUCUGCUACUGCUGUUGCUGCUGCUACACCGCAGAUUUUCACACCUUAUGCACCAUUUGUAACAACCCCAUCAUCUCUUCUCGAAGGUAGUAGUCAUAAUAAUAAUGGCGGUGCAGAUUCAAUAAAACAACAGCAGCAUCAAUUCAUCAAUAGUCACAUUCAUCACUUCUUGAACUCAUCCUCCUCAUCCACAUCAUCAUCAUCAUCAUCAUCAACUAGCCUUCUUCUCCAUCACCAUCAUCAUUCAUUAUUCAGUUCAUCAUCACCUGUCAGACCCUUCUUCCCUACACCCUUCAGUUCCAAGCUUCUAGAUUCUUCCUCGUCAGAUCGUAAUGGAGGCCACCAACCAGAUCAUAAUAAUAAUAAGGGUACCACUACUACUACUACUACUACUUCAGGUCGUUCUUGAUCUUCAAUUGCUGCUACUACUACUACUAUAAUUCAAGAAUGAAUGUAGAGCAAAUUUAUAUUCUGAGAAAGCUAAGAGAUGAUGAACACAUACAUCGCACCUUUGUAGUUCUUAUUUGCUAAUUAAUUAGCACCCUCAGAGCUAAGCAGCGGUUAUUAUCAAAUUUCAGAAUUAAUUUUGCUAGUUAAAGACUCAAGUAUCAGAUUGACCUUCUUCUUUGCCGUAUGUGUGUAUAUAUAUAUAUAUAUAUAUAUAUAUAUAUAUGAAAAAUCAGUACUCAAAUUAACUAUUAUAAAUAUAUGUAUUGGUUAAAUAAUUUUUAAUAUAUAUUUUAUAU